rnacentral:rRNA from 1 species
UACGAAGGUCCCAAGCGUUAUCCGGAUUCAUUGGGUUUAAAGGGAGCGUAGGUGGCCUUAUAAGUCAGUGGUGAAAUCUCUGGGCUUAACCCAGAAAUUGCCAUUGAUACUGUAGGGCUUGAGUAUAGAUGCCGUUGGCGGAAUAUGACAUGUAGUGGUGAAAUACAUAGAGAUGUCAUAGAACACCGAUUGCGAAGGCAGCUAACGAAACUAUAACUGACACUGAGGCUCGAAAGUGUGGGGAUCAAACAGG